AAGGCCGGCGUUUGUAACACACAAGGCACGUUGGAGUUUUGUAUGCCUCCCACCCAACCAAAAAAGAAAAGGAAAACCUACACCCUUCCCAUCUCUCUCACACCCAAAAACUUGAAACAGAAGCUCUCUAUACCCAUUUUCUCUCACACCCAAAAACCCUAGAUGCAACAAUGGCAUUAAGCUACUCCCUCUCACACCGAAAAACCCUAGAUGCAACAAUGGCAUUAAGAGCUCUCAACACAAUCUACUCGAAGCUCCUCUCUCGAAUGGCUGUUUGUUCCCUCCGCACAUUCGCUCCCAUCAACUCCAAUUCCCAAUCAGAUAUUCCAACUAACAAUUCGGAUUCGGACUUACGUUCAAAACAACUUCCUCAUGCCGAAGGUAAGAAAAACAUAGCAUUCAAUCGAUUUAUGAAAGACGGGUCAACAUUCCCCCGCAAGGUGUUGAACGACGACGAGAAAUAUGCUAGGAUGGACAUGCCGGUGACCCGGAAGCAAGGGCUGAAACUGUUGGUUGCAGACAACUCUCUGAAUGCCUUGGAAGAGGUGGAUGAUGAUCCUCUGUCCGUGGAGGAGUAUCGAGUGAGUUACUACGGCAACAUCGAUCUUCCUCAGAGCCUCUACAAGAUGGGAAAUAUCGUAACGGAGCUCAAGGACAUUGCGUUUAGCUUGAAACCGCAAAUGAUGAUGAGGAACACUUGCGACAGCCGGCGAUGGUUUACGAGUCGUACUGAUGCAGUUAAUGAUGCAACCAAUGUUGAGAGUUAUGCCUUUUCUACUAAUGCAGCUGGUAAUGCCUUUUCUACUAAUGUAUCUGGUAAUGCAAUCCACGGUGAAGGCCCAGGAAUCCUUCAUCGUAUGGUGCGUGCCAUUUACAUCAAGGAAGGAAAUUUUCCAAACAUUGACAAUUUUAUUGCAAGUUCUGUAUCUUUUAUCAACAAAGGAAAUUUUAAAAGCAUCCACAAUUGCAUCCCCAAUUUAGUCCUUUUUUGUGGACCCCAACAACUUUUUUUCGAACAGAAGCACAACAUUAUAUUAGAAAAUUAUGGGUUGUUCAAAAAGGGCAACACUGAUUGGCAUGUGGCUGGGGUUUCCAAGACCAGAUAUAUCUCGAUAAAUGACUUCAUGUGGUUGGUACUCUGGAUUCCUAAAAAUUACAAAAAAAGGAUUUAUAAUUACCUGUUUAAGCAGCAAAUUUAUGUUUUGGAGAGUUCUCCAAUGACACUAUUAAAAUACUCAGUACUCUGUUCUUGGAGAGCACCAUUCGAUGGACAGUAGAAGUUAAAUGUUUCUGUGUUUUUUAAGAAAAAUCUUGGUGGGACCAAGGAAGCUUGUUGUGGAGAAGUAUUAAGAGAUUGUAGGGGAAGGAUUUUGGAAAUUUUCUAUAAGCCAUUUCCUGAUGCAACAUCUAGAGAUGAAGUAUUGUUACUUGGAGUGCUUCAUGGGAUAGAUGAAAUUCUUAAAAGGAGAUUGGAAGCAAAGGAUAUAUUAUUGGAGAUUAACCAUAAAAAAAUUGUCAAGGUGCUAAAUCGUGAGAACGAUAUACCAAUUGAAUGUCUUGGACUUUAUCAGAAACACGGUAGCUAAUAGAGUUGCGUAUAUAGCUUCGCAUCUGACCGUGGGACAGAGUUUUCCCAUAGGCGAUAGAGGUUUUGAAACAGAAGUCAGGCAUGAUCGAUUGAAUAUUCCGCGAUAUGAGAUCAUCCCGAAUGAAUCGUCUGAUGAGGAAUUUGAAGUCUGGUUUUAGGGGCACCAUGGUAUUUGCUGUCAGUGGACUGGUAUGUAUCGUGCUGGAAAUCAUAUUGCAAAAAAGAUUUUAGCCCUACAAAAUGCCUUCUUAAUUAUUUGGAAAACUGGAAUGUGACGCUCUUGACCAUGAC